GAUGAACGCUAGCUACAGGCUUAACACAUGCAAGUCGAGGGGAAACGAUAUUGGAAGCUUGCUUCCGAUAGGCGUCGACCGGCGCACGGGUGAGUAACGCGUAUCCAACCUGCGCACCACUUGGGGAUAACCUUGCGAAAGUAAGACUAAUACCCAAUGACGUCUCUAGAAGACAUCGGAAAGAGAUUAAAGAUUUAUAGGUGAUGGAUGGGGAUGCGUCUGAUUAGCUUGUUGGCGGGGUAACGGCCCACCAAGGCUACGAUAAGUAGGGGUUCUGAUAGGAAGGUCCCCCACAUUGGAACUGAGACACGGUCCAAACUCCUACGGGAGGCAGCAGUGAGGAAUAUUGGUCAAUGGGCGAGAGCCUGAACCAGCCAAGUAGCGUGCAGGAUGACGGCCCUAUGGGUUGUAAACUGCUUUUAUAAGGGAAUAAGGUGAGUCUCGUGAGACUUUUUGCAUGUACCUUAUGAAUAAGGACCGGCUAAUUCCGUGCCAGCCGCCGCUGUAA
rnacentral:rRNA from 1 species